UGAGACACGGCCCAGACUCCUACGGGAGGCAGCAGUGGGGAAUAUUGCACAAUGGGCGAAAGCCUGAUGCAGCCAUGCCGCGUGUGUGAAGAAGGCCUUCGGGUUGUAAAGCACUUUCAGUUGUGAGGAAAGGAGUGUAGUUAAUAGCUGCAUUCUGUGACGUUAACAACAGAAGAAGCACCGGCUAACUUCGUGCCAGCAGCCGCGGUAAUACGAGGGGUGCAAGCGUUAAUCGGAAUUACUGGGCGUAAAGCGUUCGUAGGCGGUCUAUUAAGCAAGAUGUGAAAGCCCAGGGCUCAACCUUGGAACUGCAUUUUGAACUGGUAGACUAGAGUACUGUAGAGGGUGGUGGAAUUUCCAGUGUAGCGGUGAAAUGCGUAGAGAUUGGAAGGAACAUCAGUGGCGAAGGCGGCCACCUGGACAGAUACUGACGCUGAGGAACGAAAGCGUGGGGAGCGAACAGGAUUAGAUACCCUGGUAGUCCACGCCGUAAACGAUGUCAACUAGCCGUUUGUGGACUUGAUCCGUGAGUGGCGCAGCUAACGCACUAAGUUGACCGCCUGGGGAGUACGGCCGCAAGGUUA
rnacentral:rRNA from 1 species